rnacentral:lncRNA from 1 species
GUCUACGGCGAGGUCGUACCCGGCCGUCGCCGGCGCGUCGGCGAGCAUCCCGUGGAUGAGAUCGCUGCAGGCGUCGUCGCUCUCGAGGACGGCGGGGUCGGCGAUGUCGAGCCGGUGGUCGAGCCCCUUGGCGUCGACCCUGCGCGGCCCGUGGGAGAGGAUGAGGUCGCCGUGGAGGCGCACGGAGCACGGGUGGUGGUGCGGCUUGUCGUGGACGUGCAUGGUGCCUUCGCCGUGGAAAUGGACGCGGGUCUCCGUCGCCGCCGCGGCGUGCGGCCACGGUUGCAGUGCUGCUGCCAUUGCAACCGCCGAAUCUGUCUGUGGCAAACAACAC